ACAGACUUCUGUUCAGUGAGGUGGAUUGCUGUCAUGUUCACAGUGGUAUUUGAGUUGUCUGUAAAGCUGAAUUUAUUCCCAUUGCUAUGGGACAUUUUUGGCCUGUGAAACAUCUGGGGGGUGUCCAGCUGCUUCAGUGGUGGAGAAGUCUGAAGUUGCAGUUCAUAGACAGCAUGAGGAGAGCAAUGCACUGGAUUAGGUACCAUGUUGGAACAAGCAUGAAAUGAGCCCUUACUCAGUGGAGUUGGAGGACAGAUAGGAGAUAUUCUCAUGGCUCUAUUUCUUCCCAGGUCAACAUCGUGACUCCUGGAGAGGAUUUCGAUUGACACAGGUGUGAAAGCAGCAGUGGGUCCUUCUGUGCAAGCACUGCAGGUGCGGAUUCUGUGCUGAGUUGUGACCCCACAGCGCCCUGUCAACUGCGGUGUGACUACAUCAUGUGUGAG
ensembl:lncRNA